rnacentral:tRNA from 1 species
GCCUCGGUAGCUCAGCUUGAUAUUUUGGUAUUUUUACCAAAAAUCCUGAUUAGCUAGAGCGUUUGCCUCGUAAGCAAAAGGUCGAGGGUGCAAAUCCCUCCCGAGGCU